GGGAAACGAUGUGGGAAGGCCCAGACAGCCAGGAUGUUGGCUUAGAAGCAGCCAUCAUUUAAAGAAAGCGUAAUAGCUCACUGGUCGAGUCGGCCUGCGCGGAAGAUGUAACGGGGCUAAACCAUGCACCGAAGCUGCGGCAGCGACGCUGAUGCGUUGUUGGGUAGGGGAGCGUUCUGUAAGCCUGUGAAGGUGGCCUGUGAGGGUUGCUGGAGGUAUCAGAAGUGCGAAUGCUGACAUAAGUAACGAUAAAGCGGGUGAAAAGCCCGCUCGCCGGAAGACCAAGGGUUCCUGUCCAACGUUAAUCGGGGCAGGGUGAGUCGACCCCUAAGGCGAGGCCGAAAGGCGUAGUCGAUGGGAAACGGGUUAAUAUUCCCGUACUUGGUGUUACUGCGAAGGGGGGACGGAGAAGGCUAUGUUGGCCGGGCGACGGUUGUCCCGGUUUAAGCGUGUAGGUGUGUGUUCCAGGUAAAUCCGGUUCACUUUAACACUGAGGCGUGAUGACGAGGCACUACGGUGCUGAAGCAACAAAUGCCCUGCUUCCAGGAAAAGCCUCUAAGCAUCAGGUAACAUCAAAUCGUACCCCAAACCGACACAGGUGGUCAGGUAGAGAAUACCAAGGCGCUUGAGAGAACUCGGGUGAAGGAACUAGGCAAAAUGGUGCCGUAACUUCGGGAGAAGGCACGCUGACAC
rnacentral:rRNA from 1 species